rnacentral:rRNA from 1 species
UGGGGAAUUUUGGACAAUGGGGGGAAACCCUGAUCCAGCCAUCCCGCGUGUGCGAUGAAGGCCUUCGGGUUGUAAAGCACUUUUGGCAGGAAAGAAACGUCGCGGGUUAAUACCCCGCGAAACUGACGGUACCUGCAGAAUAAGCACCGGCUAACUACGUGCCAGCAGCCGCGGUAAUACGUAGGGUGCAAGCGUUAAUCGGAAUUACUGGGCGUAAAGCGUGCGCAGGCGGUUCGGAAAGAAAGAUGUGAAAUCCCAGAGCUUAACUUUGGAACUGCAUUUUUAACUACCGGGCUAGAGUGUGUCAGAGGGAGGUGGAAUUCCGCGUGUAGCAGUGAAAUGCGUAGAUAUGCGGAGGAACACCGAUGGCGAAGGCAGCCUCCUGGGACAACACUGACGCUCAUGCACGAAAGCGUGGGGAGC